UUUGGUAAAUCUAGCUCGUAGCUAUUCUUGUUUCCCUACAAGCUCUCUCACAAACGAACCUGUUUUUGAGAUUAAUGUUUGGUUUGGGUUUUGUAUUAGUCAAUUCGUACAAAGGAACAACCUAAGACCAAAGUUCAAACUUCAGGUAUCCGAUCCUCAUUCGGUGAGGAAUCCACACUAGCUCAGACAACUAACCAAGUGGACCAAUCUCCAUCAGCUAGUUCUUUCUUAUCUAACAAAUUAUCUCAGUCUCUCAAUGCUAUGGUAAAAUUUCAUUCAGCGCUGUUCAUCUUUCAGUGGUCAUCUUAUAAGGACAGUGUUGUAAUGCCAUUUUCAGUGCUACAUCACUCAAACCAGUCACUCCUGCAUUUCCAUCCGACACACCAACCAAUCUUAGAAAAGACAAAAGCUACAGAGGACGACGGUUCCAUUCUCGAUUCAUCUUCGAUUCUUCACCGAUCGCAACUUGCUGCCUGAAUUCUGCUGAGAUACCAGGAUGAGGAGGAGUGUUCGUCGUGCUGGCAAAGUGCAGAGGAAGAGAACCCAGGUGACGCGGAGGACUCGAUGGGGUUUCGUCGGCGGCUGAGAAAAGAAUACGUAGUUGAGGAACAGAACCCUAGUGAUGCGGAGGACUUGACGGCGUUUCGUCGGCGGCCGGCAAAAGAACACGUAGUGGAAGAGACAAGCCCUGAGGAGAGUCCUGAUGAACGAUACUCGAGCCAACGCCACAACUGUAAUUCAUAAUUGGAGUACCUUUUUCUGGUGAGGGAUGUGUUUGAAGGUAUUGGCGAGAUGGAACAGCUUUUGGGGUCGUGCUUUGGAAACCUUUCCAGGUUGCCAGUGAGGAGGUGUGAUUUGGGUACAUGUUUACGUGUACAUGUGUUCUGCUAGGUUGUACAUGCGUACAAUGUUUUAUAUGUACAUGUGUACGCGGCUGUAAACUGGUACAUGGGUGACAUUUUUUUCUUGUACAUGUGGUUGUGUAAACUUUGUACGCCCUGAUUUUUUAACAAGUUCUGAUGUUUUUUAUGUUGCAUGUGUAUGUAUUG